rnacentral:rRNA from 1 species
CUGGUCGAGUCGGCCUGCGCGGAAGAUGUAACGGGGCUAAACCAUGCACCGAAGCUGCGGCAGCGACACUGUGUGUUGUUGGGUAGGGGAGCGUUCUGUAAGCCUGUGAAGGUGUGUCGUGAGGCAUGCUGGAGGUAUCAGAAGUGCGAAUGCUGACAUAAGUAACGAUAAAGCGGGUGAAAAGCCCGCUCGCCGGAAGACCAAGGGUUCCUGUCCAACGUUAAUCGGGGCA